rnacentral:rRNA from 1 species
AUUGAACGCUGGCGGCAGGCCUAACACAUGCAAGUCGAACGAGUGGCGGACGGGUGAGUAAUGUCUGGGAAACUGCCUGAUGGAGGGGGAUAACUACUGGAAACGGUAGCUCAUACCGCAUACCAUCAGAUGUGCCCAGAUGGGAUUAGCGUGUUGGUGGGGUAACGGCUCACCAAGGCGAAGAUCCCUAGCUGGUCUGCGAGGAUGACCAGCCACCCGGUAACUGCGACACGGUCCAUACUCCUACGGGCGGCAUCAGUGGGGAAUAUUGCACAAGGGGUGCAAUCCUGAUGCAGCCAUGCCGCUUGUAUGAAGAAGGCCUUCGGGUUGUAAAGUACUUUCAGCGGGGAGGCGUUACCCGCAGAAAAAGCACCGGCUAACUCCGUGCCAGCAGCCGCGGUAAUUC